GUAAACGGCGGCCGUAACUAUAACGGUCCUAAGGUAGCGAAAUUCCUUGUCGGGUAAGUUCCGACCUGCACGAAUGGCGUAAUGAUGGCCAGGCUGUCUCCACCCGAGACUCAGUGAAAUUGAACUCGCUGUGAAGAUGCAGUGUACCCGCGGCAAGACGGAAAGACCCCGUGAACCUUUACUAUAGCUUGACACUGAACAUUGAGCCUUGAUGUGUAGGAUAGGUGGGAGGCUUUGAAGUGUGGACGCCAGUCUGCAUGGAGCCGACCUUGAAAUACCACCCUU
rnacentral:rRNA from 1 species